AGCGAACGCUGGCGGCGUGCCUAACACAUGCAAGUCGAACGUGAAAGGGGGCAACCCUGAGUAAAGUGGCGUACGGGUGAGUAACGCGUAGGUAAUCUACCCCAGAGUUUGGAAUAACCUGCCGAAAGGCGGGCUAAUACUAGAUAGAGCGACGGAAUCCGUAAUUGGGUUUUUCGGGAAAGGGAGCUUGUAAGAGCCCUCGCUUUGGGAUGAGCCUGCGUCUCAUUAGCUAGUUGGUAGGUAACGGCCACCAAGGCAUUGAUGGGUAGCUGGUCUGAGAGGAUGAUCAGCCACACUGGAACUGAAACACGGUCCAGACUCCUACGGGAGGCAGCA
rnacentral:rRNA from 1 species